UCAUUCAGUUGGGCACUCUAGCGAGACUGCCGGUAAUAAACCGGAGGAAGGUGGGGAGUGACGUCAAAUCAUCAUGCCCCUUAUGACCUGGGCUACACACGUGCUACAAUGGUUGGUACAACGAGUUGCGAGUCGGUGACGGCGAGCUAAUCUCUUAAAGCCAAUCUCAGUUCGGAUUGUAGGCUGCAACUCGCCUACAUGAAGUCGGAAUCGCUAGUAAUCGCGGAUCAGCACGCCGCGGCGAAUACGUUCCCGGGCCUU
rnacentral:rRNA from 1 species